ACGAACGCUGGCGGCGUGCUUAACACAUGCAAGUCGAACGGAAAGGCCCUGCUUUUGUGGGGUGCUCGAGUGGCGAACGGGUGAGUAACACGUGAGUAACCUGCCCUUGACUUUGGGAUAACUUCAGGAAACUGGGGCUAAUACCGGAUAGGAGCUCCUGCUGCAUGGUGGGGGUUGGAAAGUUUCGGCGGUUGGGGAUGGACUCGCGGCUUAUCAGCUUGUUGGUGGGGUAGUGGCUUACCAAGGCUUUGACGGGUAGCCGGCCUGAGAGGGUGACCGGCCACAUUGGGACUGAGAUACGGCCCAGACCCUACGGGAGGCAGCAGUGGGGAAUAUUGCACAAUGGGCGGAAGCCUGAUGCAGCAACGCCGCGUGCGGGAUGACGGCCUUCGGGUUGUAAACCGCUUUCGCCUGUGACGAAGCGUGAGUGACGGUAAUGGGUAAAGAAGCACCGGCUAACUACGUG
rnacentral:rRNA from 1 species